rnacentral:rRNA from 1 species
AUAUCAGUAAGCGGAGGAAAAGAAAUUAACAAAGAUUGCCUUAGUAGCGGCGAGUGAACAGGCAAGAGCUCAAACUUAAAAUCUGAAGCAUACAGUUUCAGAAUUGUAGUCUAAAGAUGAUGGCAGAAGGCAUAGAGUAUGCAUAAGUUCCUUGAAACAGGAUGUCAUAGAGGGUGAUAACCCCGUGUUUGGCAAUACUCCAGCCGUAUGUCUGAGUCGAAGAGUCGGGUUGUUUGGGAUUGCAGCCCUAAAUGGGGAGAUAUACUUCUUCUAAGGCUAAAUAUUUAUGGGAGACCGAUAGCGCACAAGUA